GCGGCGAGCGGCGGACGGGUGAGUAACGCGUAGGAAUCUACCUGGUAGUGGGGGAUAGCCCGGGGAAACUCGGAUUAAUACCGCAUACGUCCCAAGGGAGAAAGUGGGGGAUCUUCGGACCUCACGCUAUCAGAAGAGCCUGCGUAGGAUUAGCUAGUUGGUAGGGUAAAGGCCUACCAAGGCGACGAUCCUUAACUGGUCUGAGAGGAUGAUCAGUCACACCGGAACUGAGACACGGUCCGGACUCC
rnacentral:rRNA from 1 species